UUGUUAUUUAAAAUAAAACUUAUUAUUGAUCAACUGGUGAUGAUUGUUGAACUACAACUUAGUUAUCUGUAGGUCGAUAUGGACGACAACAUUUACAACUUGAGGAUUCUAUCAAGUUCUCAUAUAUCUAGUUUGGUUCACAAACCCACUUAUCAAGAGUGGUAACAUUUUGGUUCAAAUGAGUAUGAAUUAUUAUUUUGUUGGAUUAUAAUUAAGCUACUGUCAGCUCUAAAGCUCUGCUUUUUGUUCUACAUGAUGACCAUGGUAGAAAUUCUGUUACUGGAUUUUUGAAUAUAUAAAAAGAUAUGAUUUGACUAUUACCAUAGUUGACCACCCGAAGCGAAUAGAAAUAGUAAUAAAUAGCAACAUGAACUUGAACUUGACAAAUUCAACCAGAAAAGGCAAAGAGAGAAAAUUAUAACAGAAUUUUAAAACAUUUUUAGCUAUUAGCAAUAUAGAUACCUAAGAGUAAAAUUAAUUAAUUUGCUACAUGCAAAUUAAGAUUUCUAUAACUAUGUACUUAAAUUAGGAAUUUUAUUGAUCAAUGUUAUAUAUCUUUAAACUCUUUAUAGCUACCUGAGUUCAUGGUGUCAGCCAACUUUCCACGGCUUUGAGCUCAGCCAGAUAGCAAAAACUAAUCCAAUGACUAUAAAGUUACCGCAUGACUGUGAAUUCGAAGGAAACAAACCAUCUCAGAGAUGAGUAAUUGAAAUCAUCAAAAGGAAAAAAGCAAGACCUAGAUCAAGUAGCUCAACACGUCCAUCACAGUUCGUCCCCAAACUGUAUAAAGAAAGCUAAAUUUCGGGGCUAGCUUAUAUCCUACAAAUUUAUUUGGCGGUCGGAUAUAAGCUGACUCCAUAAUUUAUCUUUCUUUAUAAUUUUCUCUCUUUGCCUUUUCUGGUUGAGUUUGUCAAGUUCAAGUUUAUGUUGCUAUUUAUUACUAUUUCUGUUCGCCUCGGGUGGUCAACUAUGGUAAUAGUCAAAUCAUAUCUUUUUAUAUAUUCAAAAAUCCAGUAACAGAAUUUCUACCAUGGUCAUCAUGUAGAACAAAAAGCAGAGCUUUAAAGCUGACAGUAGCUUAAUUAUAAUCCAACAAAAUAAUAAUUCAUUCUCACUUGAACCAAAAUGCUACCACUCUUGAUAAGUGGGUUUGUGAACCAAACUAGAUAUAUGAGAACUUGAUAGAAUCCUCAAGUUGUAAAUGUUGUCGUCCAUAUCGACCUACAGAUAACUAAGUUGUAGUUCAACAAUCAUCACCAGUUGAUCAAUAAUAAGUUUUAUUUUAAAUAACAAUGGUUGUUGAAUGGUCUACCUCAUAAUGGCUAUGAAAAUUGCUAUUCUCAAAGAGAAAAGAAAGAUCAACCAUGAAAAAUAUGAUGUUUACAUUUUUAAUACUCUCAAGAUAUCAGGUUUGCAGAAAAUUGAAAAGGUAAGAAUUUCAGUUAUUUGAUGAAUUUCUUCUAGGCAAAAAUAGUAAAAUAAAUUCUCAAACUAUUGAAAGAUCAAUUGGUAAACUACUUACCAUUACCAGGAUGGCAUCUUCUAAUACAAUCCAUUGAAACUCAGCUCAGCCAGGGAGUAAACAAAUUACAUCAUAUUGAUCACAAUCCAUGAAACUUUAAAUUGGGACCAAAUCCAUAAAACUGAAUCUUAAACACAACAAUGAACCAACAAAGAAAAUACAAGCAAAAGAUUGCAAGAGUACUACACAAAAUGAUACAGCAUCGGGAUGAACAAAAACAAAAACAGGAAACUAAAUUUUAUUAGGCUAAAACAUAAAAUAACACAAAAUGGCGUCUCCUUAAACAAGGCAAGGUUAAAAGUUUUUUUUUCUAAAAAUAACACUAUACUUGACGAUAAAUAAAAAGUUCCUAAUUUUCCAUAAGUAAUUUAAAUAAAUCUACCAACUUAUAUCUAUUUAUAAAAGGAAAUCCUAUACAAAUACUCGGUUGAGGUAAUAUCAGACAAAAGAAAUGCAAGUAAAGCAGUGCGGCUUAGAUGGAAUACAUUGUCGACCAUAGAUGACAAUGGAGGCAAAUUAGAAUAGAGUAGGAGAAAAUAAGAGCUAUAAAUGCUCUAGAAAAGUUGUAGUAGCAAGAAAUAAGACGACAUAAAUCAACAACAAGUAUAAAUGUGAUAGAUUAACAAUUGUCAAAGCCCAUUCCCUGCCGGCAAAGCACCAUUUGAAGAAUUCUCAAAGAUCGCCCAUUAGGCUACAACCUUUUUAAAAAAAAACGGACACCAACAUUUUUUCUUUUAAAUAUUACAACAACAAGGACCAGUUUAUACAAAUAACAAUAGAAAAUAAUAAAAUUGUUUUACAACAUUAAAUUCGCACCUGUAUCAUGUUCAUUCAUUGAUGUCAAUAUGAUGAUGCAGAGGAAGAAAAUUGAAGUUCUCAUACUUCAAUAUAUUAAUUGACAGCACUUCUACUCUAGUUUUGUAAGGUGCAAAUGUCAGCCAAAACCAUACGAUUAGCAUGCUUUAAAAUAUGAAAGGACCCAAGACUUGUUCUUGUAUACACAUAAAGCUAUUCAAAUUAAAACAUUAAUUUUCAAUUAUUAGAGAAAUAAUUAUUAGAGAAGUUUCUGCAUGCACAAGAGUAACAAUUCACACCAUGAGUUUAGCAAGACAAAGGUAAGCAUCAAGUUGCAGGUGGACCACAUGUAGGAUUUCAGCAAACAUAUGAAUCUACUGUCAUCUAGCAGAAAAUUCAAAACCAUCAAAACAAAUACCACUUGUGCUAAUGUGUUCUGCUGCCCAUAACCAACCAUGUUCAUAUUUUGUGAUUGUUUGGUCCAAGGAACACCAUGUAAAAUAUUUUUUCAAUUCUGCAAUGAAUUUGUCGAGUUCGUGUUCAAGGAUCUCAAGGGCAUAUUUGGAUAGAACACUUUUUACUACAAUAGAAACUGCCUUGUGACUAAGAACAUGGAGAUAUUUGGCCACAGCCAGCAAAGAAACCGAUGUAGUCUCCAGAGAUGAUGCUAUGUGCCGGAGAAGUGUUAUCCAUGACCUUCCCUCUGUGGGUGGGGGCAGCCUGUUGUGUUGCUCUUUGGCGUUCGUCAUCAUUUCUCUGGGUGAACAAGAACUUAAAGAUAUUUGGCCUCACCCUCACUGUGCUUGGUCUCUUCCUCUCUGCCUAGCAUUUGUCCGAUUACUCACGGUUAGGUAUUUUUAUUUGAGCUAAUUGAGGGUUGCUGCAUGUUUGGGCAUGACACUGACGCUACAAGAUAUUGUGAUGUGUGUUAUUGUGGAGAUAUCAAAUUUAAACAAAGUCAAAGAGAGUUAUAUAGAGGACUUACUUCUGGUGAUUUGUCUGCAUAAACUCCUGAUAAUUUUAGUUAUCUUUUGCUAGUACACACAAUGAUGCCUUUUAGAUGUUUAUGCUGUUGAUAAAAGGACGAUAAACAAUAUUCUUUUGUAUAUGCUGUAUGGAUUCAGAUGUUGAUCUAUGAUUAUUAAUUUGUUUCAACGAAAGCUUCUGACUUUAGUUUUUCUUGCCCUUUUUUUGUAAAUUUUAGAAUCCUAAAAGAAAGGUACACAAGCCUGUUAAAGGUGCAUUGAAUUGGAGGUUGACAAGCUUCAUACUUCACUCGUUGAUGUGGGCAAUCUCUGACAAUGGAAGCAUAAUCGUUGACUCAAAUGAUGAUGGUGAUUGUUUUACUGAAACUUCUCUAGGAAAGCAUCAUAGCAAUGGUCCCGAUAUCUCCAGUAGUGGUAGUUUGAAGUUCAUCGACAUUAAUCGAAAAUAUAUUUGUAGGAAUGUGUCAAUUCCAGUUGGAGAACAUCAUCCUGAUUUUAGUGACCAUCUAGCUUCUCUAUGCCAUCUCUUGAAUUUUAUCCGUGGGCACCUGUGAACAUUCUCUAUUGGCGAUUCUGGUGGCUCUCUUAGGUAAAAAACACACUUUAUAAGGUUAUUCUUUCAUGGAUAUGUAGUAAUUUAUAGGAAGUGUAUCUUAGUUGUUUUGAGUUGUAAGUUUAUUAUAGUCGUUUUGCAUAUUUGUUUGUUUGUUAUUUUUUUCUGUCACGUGUUAUUUUAGAAAAUUAAAUUAAAUUAACUACUAUUUCUGCUUGCAUGCUAUUAUUUGGUAGAACAAUAUCUCAUUAAUUUCUUUUAAAAUAUCCUCUUGUAUCCUUGCUAGGCAAAUUGUGGAAACCUGUAUCUAUUUAGUUACCUCUCUCUUAUCAGAACUUCAUGUACAAAUAGAGUUUUGUUGAUUAGGGCAUAUAGACAAUUAAUUAGCCCAUUUUGUUUUAGGCUACUAAAAUUUUAAUCUUUAUAGCUCAUGAUUUUACAUUCAAGCUUUUGGUUUUUGGAGGAUGAUUAGAAGUGAGCCAUUCUCACAACUUUUCCAUUGUCUUUAUGUUUAUGCUUUAACUGUUAACUUGGGUCGUAAAAGAAAUUUGUUCAUAAGGAUAUAAAUGCGAAAGGAUGAUGCUGACAUCCAAAAGCAACCAUUAGAGGUCUGUGUUAAUGAGAAGUGGUUAGGUUGUUGUUUAUCACUUUCACUUUAGAAUUCUUCAAUCUGUUGAGUUUCUGGUUGUUUGGUUGCUCAGGCUGAGUUUCCAAAGGAACAAGGUCAAACUCUUGAAAAGUAUGCUCACACAAAUUGCAGUUGGAGCUAGAAUGGCUUGCUACCAUGAUGAAGUUAAACUUUGCCUCCUUUCUAUUUUGACACCCCAAUACCAUCUCUUGUUUAUCUUUUUUUCGUGUCAAACUUCUGAUGAAACGUGAAGCUCCCAAGCCUGUGAUUAUUGGUUAUGCUGCACUACCUUUGACUUCCCACAUUCAUUGCAGUGUCGGCUCAAGCAAAUUGCGUGCAGACAUGACUGAAAUCAAUCUUGGGAGGAAAGUAUUAUGCUAUUCUUAAUUUUGACAUCUGGAUUGACUGAAUUUCUCAUAGCCAUGUUUUUUUUUUAAUUUUGGGAAGAAUAUUCUUAAUUUCAUUGCUUUUGACAUUUCAAAAGAAAAUAAAUAAAUGAGAAGACAGAUAUCUUGAAUUCAGCAAUACAUGCAAUACAUGAAAAUCACUGUCUUUAUACAGUGAUACAUGAAAGAAUAGGAUUUCUUUGUUACACAUACAAUACAUGAAAAUCACUGUCUUUAUACAUUGUCAAAAGCGGAUUUCUUUGUUAUACAUGCAAUACAUGAAAAUCACUGUCUUUAUACAUGCAAUACAUAAAAUAUAUCUCAGAUAGUUAUUCUUUUACAUGGACGAAUAACAAGAUAUGGAAGAGGUUGGAUAGGAUUCUUUUGUCCUCUUCUUGGAGUGUCAAAGAUUUUAAUGUUCGGUUUGAGCAUUUGAGCAGGGCAAUGUCUGAUCAUUGUCCUCUUUCGAUUUCUUUUACUAGUUUUUCUCCUCCGUUGGCAUCUUUUAGAUUCCAAAAUAUGUGGAUAAAGCAUUCAAAUUUUCUUUGACAGUUCGGUUAAAUUGGAUGUUUCCUUGCUUUGGAUUUGGCUUGCAGAAAUUGCAGUUCAAACUGAAGCGUCUGAAAGGACACUUGAAGUGGUGGAAAUGGAAUUCAGACGUUAUUGGGAAUAUUCUUGAUACGGUAAAAGAGGCUGAAGAUCAAUUUGCUAUAGCUGAAAGGGUUUUUGAUUCAGCCCCUACAGUGGAAAAUAAACUUUAGAUGGCCAAGGAUGAUGCGCAUUUACUCAAAAUUUUAAACAUGGAAGAGAUCUCCUGGAAACAAAAAGCGGCUGUUAGGUGGAUAGGCGAGGGUGAUAGAAACACUAGUUUUUUCACAACUUAGUGCAGAAAAGGAGAUUGGCUGCCCGGAUUUUCAGAAUAUGGGAUAAGAUAAUGGAGUUUGUUUAGAGAAAGCGGAUUUAAUUCAAGCUUCAGGUGCUGAAUUUUUUGAAACGUUGUUGUCGGGGGAGGGGGAAAAGCUGAUUUCUGCAGAUUUAGAGCUUAUUCCAAGUUUAAUCAGCCCGGAAGAGAAAUUAGCUUUGUUAGCUGUAUCUGCAAUGGAAGAAAUGAAAUAGGUUGUUUGGGAGAUGUGUGAAGAUAGCACAGCAGGGCCGGAUGAUUUUUCUGUAGCUUUUUAUUUGGCUUGUUGGGAGAUCAUUAAAUUGGCUGUACAUAAUGUUGUAUUGGAUUUCUUUCCAGGAGGAUCCUUUCCAAAAGGGAUGGCCGUGACCACUAUAGUUCUUAUGCCUAAAAAAGAUAACGUGUAACAGUGGCAGAACUUCAGACCUAUAUGUUUAUAUAAUGUAUCAAACAAGUUUAUUUCAAAAUUGUUGGCUAAUAGGUUGAGUUUACUUUUGGAUAAAAUUGUAUCUCCUUUGCAAAGUAGAUUUGUAGCAGGGAGGUUGAUUUCAGAUAUAUCAUAAGUUGAAUUAUCAUGUUAGAGGGGUGAGUUUAAUUCUAAAGCUUGACAUGGCUAAAGCCUAUGACUGGUUGCAAUGGAAUUUCCUCUUCAAAAUAAUGGGUGCUUUUGGUUUCUCGGAUUCAGUGAUUGAUAUUACAAGGACAUGUAUUGCGGAUUGCUGGUUUUCUGUAAGGUUAAUGGUCAUUUAUUGGGCUUCUUUUAUUCUAAAAGAGGUCUUAGGCAAGGGGACCCUAUUUCUCCAUUAUUGUUUAUUAUUGCAGUUGAAUUUUUGUCUGGAGGAUUGGAUAAAUUGUUUAACAAGUUUCCUCAAAUGUUUUUCAAUUAUGGCUGUGAUUAUAAGGUGUCCCAUUUAGCAUAUGCAGAUGAUGUGAUGAUCCUUAUGAAUGUGACAGUGAGCUGUGUUAAGAGAGUUCAGGAUUUUCUGAAAAAAUGAUAAUUCCAGUUAACCUCAUUGAUUAUCCCUGGGAUGACUGGUUCGACCCCACGGAAUUUUUCCAUCGGCCACAAGAGUAAAUCGGGAAGCACGCGGAAGCCCAGCAACCUUUGGUUGCGUGCUCUAUUUGGAGGAAAAAUUUUUGCAAAUACGCCAUAGCUGGGAUCGAACUGCAUGUGCUCGGGUGAUAACAUGGAUACCUUACAAUGACACCAUAGGCCCGGGGACAAGUUAAGACUUUUCUAGAUUCAUAUAUGUCAUGCUCAGGGCAAUUGAUUAAUGUUUCAAAAAGCUCUUUCUUUCCUUCUAAAGGCAUUUCUAAUGCUAGGAAAACUCAAAUCUCUGGCGUGACGGGUUUUAUGGAAGGAAAUGGACCUCUUAUUUACUUGGGAGUUCCUAUUCUUUCGGGUAAUUGGAAAACUGUACAUUUUCAAUCUUUGUUAAAAAAAGUGAGGAAGAAAUUGAUUGGAUGGAAUAUAUCGAGAUUAUCUCAUGGAGGGCGCCAGCUUUUGAUUCAAAGUGUCUAUGUUCAUUCCCUGUUUAUUUGUUACAAGAUAUUUUACCACCCCUUUCAAUUUUGCAUCAAUUGGAAAUAAUUUUUGCAAAUUUUUUCUGGGGAUCUUCAGGUUCGAAAGGGAAAGCUCACUAGAUUUCUUGGGCAAUUGAUUUAGGGAAUAUAAAACUGGGCUAGGUUUCUUACUAAAAUGUAUUGUGGUGCGACUUCUCCGAUGAUUGUUUCUAUAAAAGGCAAUGCUUCUCCUUGCUGGAGAUUGAUGAUGAAAACUCGCGCUAUUGUAGAAAAUCAGAUUGGAUGGAUUGUUGGUGGCGGCCGUGUAAGUUUUUGGUAUAAUGAGUGGUUGGAUAGAGGGCCUUUGUUCCAUACUUGUCCAGUGGAAGGGAAUCCGGAUGCCUUAAUUACUGUUUCUAUAGUGGAGCAGAGCUGGAAUUUAAACAAAGUGUGAGCUGUUUUACUUUAUUUGGUGGUUGAAGUUGUAAUUCAGAGAGGGGUUUCGCCUAAUAUGAGUUGGAAGUUGUCUUCGGAUGGAAAGUAUUCUAUGAAAUCUACAUGAAAUUGUGUUAGGGUUUGUGGACAGCAGGAGGAUAUAGGGGUUGCAAUUUGGAGUAAAUUGUUGGUUGCUAAAAUAUCUUGUGCAGUGAAAGGGAAUCUGGAUGCCUUAAUUACUGUUUCUAUAGUGGAGCAGAGCUGAAAUUUAAACAAAGUGAGGGCUGUUUUACCUUAUUUGGUGGCUGAAGUUGUAAUUCAGAGAGGGGGUUCGCCUAAUAUGAUUUGGAAGUUGUCUUUGGAUGGAAAUUUUUCUAUGAAAUCUACAUGGAAUUGUGUUAGGGUUUGUGGACAGCAGGAGGAUAUAGGGGUUGCAAUUCGAAGUAAAUUAUUGGUUUCUAAAAUAUCUAUUUUUGGUUGGCGGUUUUGGUUGAAAAGAUUACCGGUUGAUUCAGUUUUGCAAAAACGUGGGGUGUCAUUAGCAUUUAGAUGUCAGUGCUGUGAGGAGAUGGAAUCAUAGGGGGCAUUUGUUCUUUAAUGGACAUGUUGCAAAAGAGGUUCGGGCGUAUUUUGCCAAUCUAUUUUGUGUAAAUAGGUUUUUUGACUUUCGGAGUUGGAGAUUGGGAAUAGAAUGGUCUCACGGUGGACAUGUAAGAGAGGGAUGCCUUUCUUAAUUUUUUGGUUUAUAUGGGUCUCUAGGAAUGAUGCUAAACAUAGGGGGAUCAAGAUGGGUGCUCAAAAGAUAAUCCGAAAUAUUAUACAAUAAUUUUUCUUUGGUGUGGCUGCUGGUUUUAUUAAAAGCAAGCAUUGGAAAGGGUUCUUUAGGGUUGCUGGUCAGUUGGGGUUUCCUUUGAAGUUUUUGUUGGGAGGACAAUUUCGGUAGUACAUUGGAGGAGGCCGGAUUUGGGGAUUUUCAAAAUCAACACAAACGAUUGCUCUAAGGGAAAUUCUGGUACAUCUUAUGGUGUCAUUAUUAGGGAUCAUGGUGGGCAAGUGAUUAUGGUUAAACAUGGGAUUAUUGGGGUUGGAUCCAAUGUAAGAGCUGAAUUGGUAGCAAUUCUUAAAGCACAUUUACAAGGUGACUAUUCUUGUUGAUGCUAUUGAACAACCGGUCAAGGGUACUUGAUCAGUCCCAAGAUGUGUUUGUUGCUAAUGUAGCCUUUCUGAUCUCUUUAUUGGGUAGGUGUCUACUUCCAUUGUCACACUAUAUCCUGCAAUAUUGUUUUAUAGACAGAUUGUGAAUGCCGGUUCAUGUUGAUGCACUUUCUUUAUUUAAGGAUUGCAUCAUUCUCGUCAACAAGGCUUCCCGGCAACAACAUAUAGGUGAUUUGGCAUAAUGCUUGUGUCUAUCAUCUAUCAGCAAUCUUUUGAUACUCAUCCAACUGUAACCAUGCAAGAAGGCAUGGAAUAAAAAAUAUUUGAUAUGUUGCAGCUAACAUAAAUAUCAGCAGAAAGAUAUGAGCUUCAUACAAACCAAACUAUAUAUAUAUAUAUAUAUAUAUUUAAUUCCUUCAUUCCACCAUGGAAAUCAAUGGAACAUUGUUAUGCCAAACUUUGAAAACUUAUAUUUUAUAGUUAGUACAGAAAAAAAUGAGAUUUUUUUAGACCAUAGUAAUCUGAUGAUAUCAUUUUGAUUUUCCAAUACAUGCUGUUUAAGAAUCAUAAAUUGUGAAGUUUAGGUUCUUUAGUUCUUUUCUUAUGUUAAACAGAAGGUUUUCAUAUGUUAUACCUUAUCUAUUUACUAAAGGAACCAGACUUCACAAUUAGUCUGGUUGAUUAUUAAAUUUCAUGCACUGAGUAGAAAAUAACAUUAGCAGAACUUGCAAGUUACAAAAUAGAUAUUCCUACUUCAUUGGAAAAUAUCUACUUUAUGUUUUUUUUGGAACAAUCAUCAAAGUCGUUUGAUAUGUGUGAUAAUGUUGUUGACAUUUCCAAACUUUUUCGUUGUCAUCAUUGGAUUUGAGAAGCUCUUGAAGGUGUUAACAGAAUCUGCAAGAUUUGGUACCCUUAAUUAACAGAUGUACCAAAUAUUAAUGUCAAGCCUAUAACAUCUCAACAACUUUUACCCGCUUUAUCACCAACUCCUAUGUUCUCAUUCUGCUGUCUCAUACACGUUGUAAACUAGAUCUAGCUGAUUUGUACCUUUACUAACUCUGCCAAUUUCUAGCACUAUGUACUUCUUUUAGUUGCUCAAAUGAGUUUGAUUUCACAAGCACAAGUCCUUGAGCGCUGUCUGCAGCCAAAAUGAAUGCAGAUGCCCAACCAAGUCCACUAGGGGUAUUAGCACACUUCCUUACAAAGACCUACAUAAAUUAUCUCAGAUGCACAUGGAUGAAAGCCAGACUACCACUUCUUUUAAAAUACCUGUUUUGGCUACAUCUUCUCUGAGCUUGUGGAGCAAUCAUGAGAUGAAACAUCAUCUUUCUGGAUCUCCAAGUUAUCUGUGGAUGUAUUUUCUGAGAGUCAAUCUUCAAGAGGUGAUUUUGAAACUUCAAUGAUGCUUUUUACCCUGUAAUUUUGUAAAGGCCUUCUCUUCAAGUUGUCUUAAGUGCCACAAAUGUCUUCCUAGCAUCACUGACAAUACCAAUCAUAGGGAAAAUGAUUUUUUCAAACUAGUUUAGCUGCUCAUAAUUGCUCAUUCCAAUCAAUAUAGCAGGUUCUGAGCAUGAAAGGAAAAGGUGCUUCUAUUGCUGUAUCAUAGCUGCUGGCUGGUAUCCCAAAGUUAUCUCCUGAGAACUUUUGAAAGGGCUGCGCUUGGCCAAGUGGCUGUUUGAAUCAACUUCAAUGUGCAUGUUGUGAACAGGGAUCCCCUAAAGGAGGUAGAGAAAGGCCAUGAAUGAGACUUCUGCAGUGAAGAGGACAGCCCACAAGCUUACAAUUGUUGAGGUCUUCUUAUGGAAGGUGUGCAGGCCAAUGAAGAUGUUGCCUAUCCCCAACACAGACUCCAGUUCCAAGCAGCCAAUGCACCAGAUUGAGCAAUGAUGCAUGGAAAAGCCAUCAAGCUACGAGGGUAGGAGGAUUCGUCCGCCUUUCUUUGCUGUUAUGCCGAUUUGGCUUUGGAGCAGCACUUUCUGAUCUACUAACAUAAUGAUGUCGAGCAGGUAUUAAUGACAUUCUCCAGAGGGAAAUUGAGAUGAGCUCUCGGACCUUUCAUCCUCAACUCUCAAGGCAGCUCUGUCGUAGGCGAUGGCAGCUUCUUCAGCAGUGUUGAAUGUUCCAAGCCAAACUCUAGCACCCUUUCUCGUAACAUCUCUUAUCUCCGCUGCAAAUUUGCCCCAAGGUCUCCUCACCCCUCUAUAAUUCCUCCUAUCAUCGUUUUUUGAUGUAGUGUUGAUAUUAACGUUAGGGUUAGAAUUAGAGUCUGUGUUAACCUUAUUAGAACAAGGUGAGGCCAGAAUGGGGGUAACAUUGAGCAAGUCCUCCCAUACCUCAGCUCCCAUGGAGAUCCACCUACCAAGGCUUGGAAGCCUCUGCAAGAGUUGAAGGUUGUCGUUGGUUGUUUGGAGGCCAUCUUCCUCAUCUUCUUGUGUUUUGCAUGGCUUAUGUUGCAUGGAUCUAUCAGUGCUAGUGCCACUUAUGAAACUAGCCCACACAUCCUCGAGAAUCAUUUGGUUGUACUCCGAUUUGUCGUCCA